CACACACACACACACACUCUCUCUCUCUCUCUCUCUAGCCUCUCUCGCACUCUGAUUUUUAAAGGUUCUAUUUUUUCCCUCCCGCGGCAUCGUUAUUAAUAAAAAGGCGAAUAGGCCUCAGCGCCGCCAUCCGAGCAAGCGGAGAAAUGCUGGCCCGCAGUCCAAGCCCGCGCGCGGAUCCCGCGUCCGCUCCACGCGCCCCCUCGGGCGGGAGAACAGAGCGUGUGCCGUUUGCUGCCGCCGCCAGGAGGCGCCCGAGCCCCGCGUUCCCGAGCGUCUCUGCGAGCCGGUCUGGGCAGAGCUCGGGAGCCGCCGGGAGGCAACUGCGCAUCAGCGGACUCGCGGCCCGGGUCGGAGCCGGGUGACUGGUGCCAGGGGGCGGCGACUCGGAAUCUUGGGGAGAGCCGCGAGUCAGAUGGCAGCGGGUGCGCGGCUGCGUGGGAGGUGCGAGUGGACCUAUCUUCUGCUGUGGUUUUCCUGCCGUGCCUCUUCUCCACUCUCACCACUCUGAAGAAGCGUGCUUGCGAGCGCCGCGGGACAAUCCAGGACGUUCCAGGAUUGUGGACGAUCCUGUUCUUCCCAUCUGUGAGGGCCUGGAUCACAGUUCCUCAAGCUUUGCAAUACAAACGAAUCACCUGGGAUUUGGAUAAAAUGCAGAUUCACGUUCAGCAGCCCUGGCGUUCUGCAUUUCUCAUGAGCUCCAGGAAGACACUGGUGCUGCUGGGGCAGGACCACACUUUGGGUGGUGAGGGAUUGGCAGGCAAUUCCAGGUGUUGCCUUAGAGAUGGCCUGCUAUUGCACUGCCAGUAGGUAGCUGCCACAGUGAUGGCUGCUCCAGAGCAAGGGGAGAACCUUUUGAAAAGGGUCCUUGAAUCAUUUGGGAAAUAAAUCAAGCCAUAUGAGUAAAAAGUAAUCAAAAAAUACGUUGAAUAUUGGAACCAGAGGAAAUCUUAGCAUCAUUUUGUAAUGACUCCCUGUACACAUUUUCCAGAUGAGGAAACUGACAAAGCCAGGUGGCCUGUGGCUGAGCAGCAAGAUGCUCAGCGAGGUCUCCCUGCUGCACUCCCGUGCACUUCCACAGUGCUACCCUGCUGACAGACACAGGAAAUGUUGAACACAGCUGUCUUUAAAAUUAAGACCAUGACUGCCCUAAACAUUUACAAAGGACCAACCAUGAGAAAAAAGCCUGUACCAGAAAUCAGAAGAUGGCUUUUGUCCAUGUACAACCUUGGACAACUUAAUUACUAAUCACUGCUCUCUGAGCCUUUUUCCCCACUGGUUACAAAAAAAAAAAAAAAAGAAAAGAAAAAGAAAAGAAAAGGAUAUGCCUGCCCUUCCUAAUUCACAGGGCAUCGCAGGGAGGUAAGGUGGUUAAUAUGCUGAAUCACUUCAAAAGGGUGGAGCUGAACUCACAGUGGGAACCCUGUCCCACACACAUUUCCAUGACAAGGAUAUUGGUGAGGUGAGGGAGGUGGGGAGAGGCAUGAGGAUGGGAGACAAAGGGGUGGGAUAGGGAGUGGGGGAAGGAGGAAGUCAGAGGGACAGGCCCAGGCUAGGCUCUGAAGUCAGAAGGUGAACGAGGUAGAGAAUUAGCAGCACACUGUCCAUGGAUAUUUGCGGUGAUGGAAAUGUACUGUAUCCAUGCUCUCCAAUAUGGCAGCCACUAGCCACAUGUGGCUAUCAAGCACUGGAAAUGUGGCUAGUGUGAUUGAGGAACUGAUCUUUAAUUUUUCUUUGUUAUUUCAGUUUAAAUAGCCACAUGUGGCCAGUGGCUUCUGUAGCAAAGAUCUAGAUCAUUUGUUUGAAGCAGUAAAAAGAGAAAUGUGAAUCCCCUCUUCUUACCUCCUAUAACAUGCUAAUUAACAUCACUGCAAUUAACCACCAUUCACAGCUCUUCAGCUGCUCUGUGGAACCUCAGCCGGCUCUGGAACGAACAGCCACAGUGGCAGGGGUUACAGAAUGGGCUGGGAGUGGCAAUGCAGAUUCAUUUCUUCACACACUCUUU
rnacentral:lncRNA from 1 species